rnacentral:rRNA from 1 species
ACGAACGCUGGCGGCGUGCUUAACCCCUGCAAGUCGAACGGAAAGGCCCUGCUUUUGUGGGGUGCUCGAGUGGCGAACGGGUGAGUAACACGUGAGUAACCUGCCCUUGACUUUGGGAUAACUUCAGGAAACUGGGGCUAAUACCGGAUAGGAGCUCCUGCUGCAUGGUGGGGGUUGGAAAGUUUCGGCGGUUGGGGAUGGACUCGCGGCUUAUCAGCUUGUUGGUGGGGUAGUGGCUUACCAAGGCUUUGACGGGUAGCCGGCCUGAGAGGGUGACCGGCCACAUUGGGACUGAGAUACGGCCCAGACUCCUACGGGAGGCAGCAGUGGGGAAUAUUGCACAAUGGGCGGAAGCCUGAUGCAGCAACGCCGCGUGCGGGAUGACGGCCUUCGGGUUGUAAACCGCUUUCGCCUGUGACGAAGCGCGAGUGACGGUAAUGGGUAAAGAAGCACCGGCUAACUACGUG